rnacentral:rRNA from 1 species
UGGGGAAUAUUGGACAAUGGGCGAAAGCCUGAUCCAGCAAUGCCGCGUGAGUGAAGAAGGCCUUCGGGUUGUAAAGCUCUUUUGUCAGGGAAGAAACGGUGAGGGGUAAUAUCCCUUGCUAAUGACGGUACCUGAAGAAUAAGCACCGGCUAACUACGUGCCAGCAGCCGCGGUAAUACGUAGGGUGCAAGCGUUAAUCGGAAUUACUGGGCGUAAAGCGUGCGCAGGCGGUUUUGUAAGUCUGAUGUGAAAUCCCCGGGCUCAACCUGGGAAUUGCAUUGGAGACUGCAAGGCUAGAAUCUGGCAGAGGGGGGUAGAAUUCCACGUGUAGCAGUGAAAUGCGUAGAUAUGUGGAGGAACACCGAUGGCGAAGGCAGCCCCCUGGGUCAAGAUUGACGCUCAUGCACGAAAGCGUGGGGAGCAAACA